CUUGAAGCGCUCUUUUCGCCGCAAAGCAUCCGCGCUCGCAAGCCCUGAACACCUGGCGGCGCCCGGCGCCUCUGAGUCGGGAAUAACAAUGCAUAUCUACGCGGAAGAAAAUCCUGUUGAAUUUAUUCCCAGGCAAGUAGGAUUAAGACGGCGGCCCAAAUCCCAUUAAAUUCUGUGGUACAUACUGCUGAAUUUAUGUAGGAUCAUCAGGCAACAUACCAUUUUUUCUUCUGAACUUUUGUUUACUGUGCUCUUGUGAUUCUCUUUCUUAAACCUGAACACCAUUAUUAUAACCUUUCCUGCUUCCAAACCCUUGAUGAGAUGGAAAUGGCAAAUCUUGUUUUAGGGACGUACAACUAUGGCUAUCAUAUUUACAAAGAAAAUAUAGGCACCUAAAUGUAAUCCAGUAAAAUAAAUCACCAUAAAUUGCU